UGCAGUGCAUUGUGGGAUUGAAUGAGUGUGCCCGAUAAUGUUCACUAUUGUUGUGGACACAACUACAAAUCAGGGUGUCACAGAAUGGCUGUAUAAAUGAAGCACAAAACGAAGGAUAAUUCCAGGAAAUCUUUUAAUCCAAACACUCAAGGAACAGGCAUAGAAACUCGGAAAACAACCAUCCAACAUAGAUGAGACAGGACAAAGAGCUGAGCCAAACAGGGAGUAUAUAAACAAGACCAAACGAGGAACUCAUUGAGCUAAUUAACGAGCAACAGGUGAAUGAGAUGAAACAAUGGGAAAGCUGGGUCAACUGAAGAUGAGCAAACGGAAGGUGAACACAAAGACAAAACAGAACAAAUUCAUAUAUUUUUUAUACAGCUCUUUGCAAUACUCAAUACUGAUUCUUCAAUUGCAUCAUCUAGCGGUCUGUUAUUACACAACAACAAAUGCUACAACUGAUAACAGGCCACUCAAGCAGGUACUGCAAGUCAUCUUGAGCUUGUUUAGAGGACAUCAAGGCUUGGAUGGAGAAUAAAUUCCUGAAACUAAAUCAGAAAAGACUGGAGUUAUGUUGUUUGGCCCUUCGCACCUUUUAAAUAAUUUAAGACCUACCCUGGGCCCCCUUCAAGAAAAACAUUCAUGAUAAAGUUAAAAAUCUGGGAGUUACCCUUGAUCCUAAAUUAAAAUUUGACAAACAAAUCAAUUCUGUAGUUAGAGCCAGUUUUCUGCAGCUUAGGCGACUUCGCAAGGUUAAAAAUGAUCUGAGUUUUAGUGAUUUGAAGACUGUUAUCCAUGCAUUCAUCUCAACCAGUCUGGACUAUUGUAACACUCUAUACACUGGAAUCAAUCAGUCCUCGCUCUCGCGCCUACAACAGGUACAGAAUGCCGUGGCACAUUUUUAACAGGGACAAAAAAGAGGGAAAAUAACGCCCAUGUUAGAAUCACUUCAUUGGUUACCUGUUCAACUCAGAGUUGAUUUGAAGGUUUUACUAUUUGUAUUCAAAGCACUUCAGGGUUUUGCCCCUACUUAUAUUUCAGAUCUUCUUCAUUCCUACUCUCCCGAGAGAAUGCUCAGAUCCUCCACCCAGUUGUUAUUAAUCGUUCCAAAAUAUUUUUUCCAUUAGAUCAUCCCCUACGCUAUCCACAUUUAAAUCAUCUCUCAAAACAUUUUUUCCCCCUCAGGUGUAUGCUUAAUCUGAGAACACCUUUAGUUUAAAUUACAUUUUAUCUGUUUGGUGGUGUUUUAUAUUAAUUCAGUUUUUUUUUUUUUUCUUUUGAUAUAUUUUAUUAGUAUUUAAAUUUUAUUGUAUGAUGUUGUUUCGUUUUGUCUGUUGUGCAGCACUUUGGUCAGCAUUCAUGUUGUGUUAAGGUGCUAUAUAAAUAAACUUGACCUUGACUUGACCUUAACAAUCUUCUGACUACACACUAUCCCUUAGCCUUGCCACACCCCCUUUUUAUAACUCCAGUCCUGGAACCCCUGCACCAUAUUGGCAUCCAAAAUCGUUUUGCAAUUCUUCACUGAAGAGUAAGUCUAUUGCUCAUCAAAUUUCUUUUUUGUUAAAAAAACUUUAAAAAACUUUACUGUAUGUGUUUAAUUUAAAGGUUGUUUGAUAAAGGUAUUGCAUUUAAAGUUAUUCCUUCUAAAUUACCGAAUAGUACUUUUGGCAAAUAUGAUAAAAAUGAUGUACACUCACUAGAACUUUUUCAAGAAAAAGCCAGGCUUUUUUAAAUAGAUUUUUGAUAGCAUCUUUAAUAGAAUCAUUUUUGACAGGAAUGAAAACGAGGCUGUGAGUAAUGGAUUUGUACAACAUGCCAAUGGUUUAGCUGACAAUACAUCUCCAAAGAAACUUUCAGUAGACUAAAUUCCAUAAAAGAGUUUUGAAAAUUCCAUGAUCUAGUACCUUUAUACAGUAUGUAUUAUUGUAAAGACUGUAGUCUUUCCUUUGAAAAAUUCAAUAUGGCGUCUGCCCUGACUAGGGUCUAUUGUCAGCUACAUUAUUGUAUUCAUUAUUUUAAAGGGGUCAUGAACAGUGUUUGUUUUUGUUUUAUGAUGUUUCCUGGGGUUCACUUAUAAUGUUAGUAUGAUUUUUACAUCAAAAAUUGUCAUAAUUUAAAAAUACAGGGCAUUUUUCCUACGCUGAUUUUAGCCCUCUUAUUUGAACUCUGUUUUAAGGGGGCGUGUCUGCUGUGAGACUUCAGUGUAAACGCCCACUGCUGUGAUUGGCUGACAUCUUUCCAUUUAAAGUAGCUAAGUACUACUCUUUCAAAAACGUUUAGCAAGUUUUUACUAUUACAGCUCUCAAGGUUAACUAAUCGUGAAAAGUGUUGAUUAUAGCAUUACAUUUAGAUCUGUGGCAUUAUAUUUAGAUCGUGGCAUGAAAGGUUGCAGUGAUGAACAGUGUAGCCGAUCACAGACAUGUUGUUGAUCUCGUCAUUCCAACUCAAUUUCUGCACACUAACGAAUGCUUCCAUCAUAACUGACAGUGCAAACUCGAUGUAACUAAGAGAUUCGUUGAAUAAAACGGGAGUUUUGGUGAGAGUCCAGAACUCAGUCACUGAUAAACUCACACUGUUUGAUUGACAGCUAUAGCGACUGAAAAGGGAGCGUUCUUUGAUCACUUUCUUUCUAUAAUUUAAUCACCGUUUAAAUAACAGAUUAUUUUCAUCCUACUAAGAGAAACAAUGUGAAGUUGAGCGUUUAGUCACUGGUUUGAUUUACUGACACACAAAGAACAUCUGACUGUACAUGAAUCAUUACAUAUCAGAUCAGGCAUUAGAAUUAACAGUUACUUACAUGUUGUUGCAUUACUGUCGAGUCCAUAUCUUAAACGUCUGUUUGCAAAGCCUGCGCCGAAAUGUGAUUGAUUAACCAAAGAGUCCACAGUGAAAUGUACCGAAUACAAAUAAAGCUCAACUGAGACAUUCACAUUGUUGAAAAUAAAUAAUCAUAUUCCAAGCAUUAGGAUCCUUUGAAAGUUAAUGUUAUUUUAGUCCUGUAUCGCUCUUCUCUCCUCAUCAUCUCACUAACACACCAGUGGGCGGGGCUAAUUUUGCAAUGAUGAAGUAGGCGUUGAUUUCUUCGGUGGAGGCGGAGUUUCGCCUAUCUCUAAUGAUAGGCACAUUCCAGGAUCAAUCUCGCUAGACCUGGUGUCAAUAAAAGCUUUUAUUGGACUAACAAGGAAGUUUUCAGGAACUUACAAGAUAAUCUUAUAGUACGAUGACCUCUUAUAUAUCAAAAGCUCAAGGAAAAGUUGAUUUCCCAAUUCAUGACCCCUUUAAAUAGUGCUUGUGAAUUCUUACAUUGUUGAGCACAGUAUGUUCUUAACCCUUAAAUGCACAUUUCAGGUCUUUAUCAACCCGGGAUGUCAUUCACUACUCUCCUAAAGUUAGAUAUCAACUUUCUUAGUUUUCCUCAAUCAAAUCAUUAUAAACAAUAUGACAAGAAAAAAUAAUACAAUUUAAAAAGAAUGUCUGUUUCCUAAUUUUGGUCAAUAAUGACCCAAGGUAUGUAAUAGUGUGUGUGUGUGUGUAUAUAUGUAUA